GCGACUUAUAUUCUGUAGCAAGGUUAACCGAAUAGGGGAGCCGAAGGGAAACCGAGUCUUAACUGGGCGUUAAGUUGCAGGGUAUAGACCCGAAACCCGGUGAUCUAGCCAUGGGCAGGUUGAAGGUUGGGUAACACUAACUGGAGGACCGAACCGACUAAUGUUGAAAAAUUAGCGGAUGACUUGUGGCUGGGGGUGAAAGGCCAAUCAAACCGGGAGAUAGCUGGUUCUCCCCGAAAGCUAUUUAGGUAGCGCCUCGUGAAUUCAUCUCCGGGGGUAGAGCACUGUUUCGGCAAGGGGGUCAUCCCGACUUACCAACCCGAUGCAAACUGCGAAUACCGGAGAAUGUUAUCACGGGAGACACACGGCGGGUGCUAACGUCCGUCGUGAAGAGGGAAACAACCCAGACCGCCAGCUAAGGUCCCAAAGUCAUGGUUAAGUGGGAAACGAUGUGGGAAGGCCCAGACAGCCAGGAUGUUGGCUUAGAAGCAGCCAUCAUUUAAAGAAAGCGUAAUAGCUCACUGGUCGAGUCGGCCUGCGCGGAAGAUGUAACGGGGCUAAACCAUGCACCGAAGCUGCGGCAGCGACGCUGAUGCGUUGUUGGGUAGGGGAGCGUUCUGUAAGCCUGUGAAGGUGUGCUGUGAGGCAUGCUGGAGGUAUCAGAAGUGCGAAUGCUGACAUAAGUAACGAUAAAGCGGGUGAAAAGCCCGCUCGCCGGAAGACCAAGGGUUCCUGUCCAACGUUAAUCGGGGCAGGGUGAGUCGACCCCUAAGGCGAGGCCGAAAGGCGUAGUCGAUGGGAAACAGGUUAAUAUUCCUGUACUUGGUGUUACUGCGAAGGGGGGACGGAGAAGGCUAUGUUGGCCGGGCGACGGUUGUCCCGGUUUAAGCGUGUAGGCUGGUUUUCCAGGCAAAUCCGGAAAAUCAAGGCUGAGGCGUGAUGACGAGGCACUACGGUGCUGAAGCAACAAAUGCCCUGCUUCCAGGAAAAGCCUCUAAGCAUCAGGUAACAUCAAAUCGUACCCCAAACCGACACAGGUGGUCAGGUAGAGAAUACCAAGGCGCUUGAGAGAACUCGGGUGAAGGAACUAGGCAAAAUGGUGCCGUAACUUCGGGAGAAGG
rnacentral:rRNA from 1 species